AUUGAACGCUGGCGGCAGGCCUAACACAUGCAAGUCGAGCGUGCGGCGGACGGGUGAGUAAUGUAUGGGGACUGCCCGUUAGAGGGGGAUAAGUACUGGAAACGGUUGCUAAUACCGCAUACAGUCGGAUAACCCAUUCGGGAUUAGCUAGUGGGUAAGGUAAUGGCUUACCUAGGCGACGAUCCAUAGCUGGUCUGAGAGGAUGAUCAGCCAAACUGGGACUGAGACACGGCCCAGACUCCUACGGAGGCAGCAGUGGGGAAUAUUGGGCAAUGGACGAAAGCCUGAUGGAGCCAUGUCGCGUGAAUGAAGAAGGCCUUAGGGUUGUAAAGUACUGUCAGUCGGGAGGCGUUACCGACAGAAGAAGCACCGGCUAACUCCGUGCCAGCCGCCGCGGUAAUUC
rnacentral:rRNA from 1 species